GUAGGUGGCAAGCGUUGUCCGGAAUUAUUGGGCGUAAAGCGCGCGCAGGCGGUUCUUUAAGUCCGAUGUGAAAGCCCACGGCUCAACCGUGGAGGGUCAUUGGAAACUGGAGAACUUGAGUACAGAAGAGGAAAGCGGAAUUCCACGUGUAGCGGUGAAAUGCGUAGAGAUGUGGAGGAACACCAGUGGCGAAGGCGGCUUUCUGGUCUGUAACUGACGCUGAGGCGCGAAAGCGUGGGGAGCAAACAGGGAUUAGAUACCCUGGUAGUCCACGCCGUAAACGAUGAGUGCUAAGUGUUAGGGGGUUUCCCGCCCCUUAGUGCUGCAGCUAACGCAUUAAGCACUCCGCCUGGGGAUACGGCCGCAAGGCUG
rnacentral:rRNA from 1 species